UUGUCUUUCUUUUACCACGACACAAGCUGCACUUUCAAUAAACACAUCCUAUGGAAGUUUAUGUUAAAGGUCGUAAAACUGUUGAACGCUCGUAAAUGCAGAGCUACUCCUAAAUUUAUGUUCUUCCUUACCUUAUCUUUUAAAAGCAUUCCAGACUGGAUGUAAACAUUCCCACAUCCACCUUUUCUUUGGUUCUUUGUGUGUGUGCGUAUAUAUACUCCUGUCUCCCACAAUAAACUUUGAACGUCUCACUGAACACUGACUUGUGUGCUUCAUUGAGGGGUUCCCUGAGCUCAGGCGGGACAGCAGAAUACAGGCGGAGCACUGAGUAGACCAAAGGGGGUCUACCAAAAUUCAAGAAAUCCUUACAAUUUGGGGGCUCUGUCCGGGAUACCUCUAAUCAGACUAAAGACGUGCUGCAGUGAUGUCCAACCCAUGACGUGACCUUGAUGGAGUGACGUGACACAGAGGGAUCGCCUUGGAUUGCCACGGGUCGACUCUUUACUUUUGCUAUUAGUGUACCAUUCCUGGUGGUGUCUUAGCGCCUCGUGAGGUGGGACGAGUGCAGAUUGGGCGUGCCCGCACUCUGAGCACUGUAGCGUCAAGAAAGGCAAUAGUUCACCACUAGUAGUUAUUUAUGAGUUUGACAUUGUGAACAAGGUUUUUGACACACACGAGUUUGCACUCAACCUGUCAUGUUUCUGUGUAUUUUUCGCUGUGUGCAAAAUUCUUUGUAUGAGUAUGUUUCAGGGUAUGUUCCUGCGCUGCGUCCGAUGGCCUAUUGUCCGCCGGCGACUUCUUAAAAGCUCUGAGUUUUAUUCAACGAUGUUUCUUAUGAAUAAAAGGGGGAAAUUGUAGGAAAUAUUUAAUUCUUAGUGUGUUUCAUGAUAUUCUGUGUUUGUGAGAAGAGAUUGUCUUUCUUUUACCACGACACAAGCUGCACUUUCAAUAAACACAUCCUAUGGAAGUUUAUGUUAAAGGUCGUAAAACUGCUGAACGCUCGUAAAUGCAGAGCUACUCCUAAAUUUAUGUUCUUCCUUACCUUAUCUUUUAAAAGCAUUCCAGACUGGAUGUAAACAUUCCCACAUCCACCUUUUCUUUGGUUCUUUGUGUGUGUGCGUAUAUAUACUCCUGUCUCCCACAAUAAACUUUGAACGUCUCACUGAA